rnacentral:piRNA from 1 species
UGCAGAAACAAUGACGGGUCACAGCAAGU